rnacentral:lncRNA from 1 species
GACAAAGCAGGAUCGCUGCUCAGCCCCAGCCCGGCAGAGCGGCCCAGGAGCCCCGGGUGACUGCCCCGGACUUCAGGGCCCGGCUUCGCUUUCCCCCUGCAGGACACUCCAGGUACUGCAUGGCCCCGGGCCCCAAGGGCAGGGAGCGAGACCCUGGAGUGAAGACCCCCCGGCCCCGCCAGGUGUGAUGGGGGGGCCCUGGGGAUAGGGUCCCCGAAGCAAAGCUGAGACUCAGAGGUGGGCUGCUGAGCCACGCCGUCCGCAGGGGCGGUGGCUACAGGUAGUUGUCUUCUGCGGCGUCGCUCCCGCCCCUGGAGCCCCGGGGCUCAUCCUCGUCGUCGUCGUCGUCAUCGGGGGCCAGCGCCUCGAUGUCGUGCGUGAUGUCAGCCAGCAGCCGGUGGAAGGCCUGUGCCUCGGGCCGCUGCGCCGCGCCAUCGUAGCUGCGCACUGCGGAGGCCGACGUGGAGCUCAUGCUGCGCUUGAUGCGGCCGAAGCUGUCAGUGAGGAUGCCGCCCUCGCGGAUGCCCACGCCCUCCAGGAAGCCCUCGAAGUAGCCGAUGUCCUGGUCCGGGAUGAAGGGCCGCAUCCCUGCGAGCCGAGGGGCAUGCCUCCAGGCUUUUGCUUGUGCCAUUCCCACCACCGGCCCCAGCUCACCGUGACCAUGUAAUCCUGUAACUGCUCCAAGCCCAGACUGCUGUGGUCGCUGCCGCUGCAGUGGGAGCCAUGGAAAGAAGGUGUGGACGUGCCGCUGUAACAUGCUUCAAAGGUGUCCUGGGAGCCAUUACUGCAGGCACGGGAAGAAGGGCCUUCACUCGCCUCCCUCCAGCUCCUGGCCCUCAGGCAGGCUGAAGGUAGGAGGCCUCAUCCUAGACUGCAUGCUGGCCUCCAAGGCCUCGCAUACCCUGGCCCCUGGCACCUCUCAAGUCUCAUCUGUCACUGUGCUUGCCUUUGCCUUUGCUCUUUGUGCUUCGCGCCCCCCACCCCCCUUCUCCUUCUUCCUCUACUAUCUCCUCACCUCUGGGUGUUUGCACCUGCUGGUCCCUCUGCCUGGAUUGCCUCCUUUCCCCUCCCUUUUGCACAGCUAACUCUUACUCAUCCCGUGAUCUUAAAUGUCAUCUCCUCAGGAGAGUGUUCCCUAAUUCCCCUAGGUUGGGUUAGAACCUCUGUCGAACAUGCUCCCUCAGUCCAUGGCCUACCUGUGACAUGCAUGGCCUUUCCAGGUACCCCCAAGCAUCCUCUCUGACCACUCUCUCCCUCACACCAUUUGCCACAGCCACAGUGGCCACCUGCUGCCCCUCAAACCCACUAAGCUCUAUCCUGUUCAAAAUUUUUUUUUUUUUUUUUUGAGACAGAUUCUUGCUCUGUCACUGAGGCUGGAGUGCAGUGGUGCGGUCUUGGCUCACUGCAGCCUCCGCCUCCCGGGUUCAAGCAAUUUUCAUGCCUCAGCCUCCUGAGUAGCUGGGACUACAAGCAUGUGCCACCCAGCCAAUUUUUGUAUUUUUAGUAGAGACAGGGUUUCACCAUGUUUGUCCAGGCUGCUCUCAAAUGCCUCACCUCAAGCAAUCUGCCCACCUCAGCCUCCCAAAAUGCUGGGAUUACAGGCGUGAGCCACCACGCCUGGUUAGUUCAGGAUUCUUACAUUUGCUGUUCCCUCUACCUGGAACACUCUUCCCCCUUUCAUCCUCCAAGCCUCAGUUCAUGUGCCAUCACCUCUGAGAGGCCCUCCUGACUCUCCAGCUGAGUUGCGGUCCCCCUCUGCCUCUCUUAUAGCACCCUGAGCCUCCCUUUAGUACUUAUUACCAUUAAUGAUUGUUACUGUUAAAUUGCGAUUUCAUUGCCUCCUAUCCUAGACUGUAAACUUGACAAGAGCAGGGACUUUGGUUUUCUUCAUUUGUUGAACACCUACUAUGUGCCAGGCCCAGGUUUUGCCCUCUGUCUUGUGUCCAUCUGUAUCCCCAGCACACAGCAGAGUGCCUGGCACAUAGGAGGUACUCAAGAAAUAUUGCUUAAUAAAAACUCAACCUUA